rnacentral:tRNA from 2 species
GGGGAUGUAGCUCAGUGGUAGAGCGUGUGCUUUGCAUGUACGAGGUCCCCGGGUCCGAUCCCCGGCGUCUCCA